GCUCGGCUUGGGACGCCUGCCAGGCCAGGGGGCGCAGGAUGCCGAGGGGCGCGGCCUGUCCGGGCCGUCCGCAGCCACGCCCGCCUCGGGGGCCCUCCAGGUUCGCGUGGUGCUGUUGGGGCAGGGGCAGAGGAGCGGACCGCCCGCUCGCAGCAGCAGCAGCAGCAGCAGCGCGGGGCCUGCUAGAGCAUCCCUGUUCCAGGCUUCGCGCCCCUCGGCCGGGCUGCCUCAAGCAGGCUUCGCUCUGCCGCCCCAGAGACCCCCCUCCCCCGGGGGCGGCACGCGCCGAAGAGACCGAGGCCCGCCCUCUUCCUCCAGCGCUAGGAGCCUCUCCAGCCCCGGGUUGAAGGGCUCGUCCCGCCUGCCGGCGAAUUGAAUCUCGCGGGGAUCCUGACCGAGGCUUUGUUCUAGCGAGCUGAUGAGCGGACCCGGAGCGGAGAAGGCCACGCUCCCCGUGGGAAGAUUUUCCCUCGGGAGGCCGUUGAGCUGGCCCAGGAAGGCCGAGUCGUAAAACCAGCGGGACGCGGGAGAAGGUGCAGCAGAAGGGACAUAUUAUGGAUCUGACAGGACCCAGGAGGAGAGCCUUUUCUGCCUCAGCACCACCCUUCGGAACAUCAUCCCCCCUGAGGCAACCCUCCUGAUAAGCCAGCAAGUUCGAGCCAGCAAAGAAAUUUGCUCAAGCCCUACCUGCAGUCGGACCGCUGGCAUCCCCAACUGGCUCCACCACCUCCUAUCAUGAUUGAUAACCAACAACACUUCGAGGUUACUGAAAUCCUUGACUCCCGCCGCCAGCGUUCCGCUUUGCAGUACCUCGUUCGCUGGAAACAUUUCCCUCAUCCUGAAUGGGUUUCUGCUCCCGAUGUACGCUCACCCCGCCUAGUUGCUCGUUUUCACUCUACCUACCCUGACAAACCGGCUCCUUAGCAUUGUUCUGGGGGGGGGCGAUAUGUCAUGUUCCCCCUUUCAAUGUUCUGUUAACUUUGUAACAUUUCACAUGUCAAGCCGUUUUCCGUGUAUACCCGCCUGGCUCAUUUCUGGGUUUUUCCAUUCCUGCGCUCUGCUUUGUUUUGGAACUUUGGAAUGUAUGUUUGGGUUUGCAAUCCUAUUCAAGGUUACUUUCCCAGGCGCGUGUAACGGUUCCUAGCACCUGGGAGGGGGUGCGUGCUGACGGGUGCUUGGGGCGGGACUGGAUUGAAGGCAAGGCUUUUAAGUUUGUA